UGGUAAAGGUGCGCAUACCAC
rnacentral:siRNA from 1 species